rnacentral:rRNA from 1 species
CGGCAAGAGCUCAAAUUUGAAAGCUGGCUCCUCCGGGGUCCGCAUUGUAAUUUGGAGAGGAUGCUUCGGGUGCGGCCCCCGUCUAAGUGCUCUGGAACGGGCCGUCGGAGAGGGUGAGAAUCCCGUCUGGGGCGGGGAGCCCCGUGCCCGUGUGAAGCUCCUUCAAC